UUGACAUGUAAAAAGGCUACACUAGAGAACUGCACUCCCGCGGGAGUACCGCGGGACCCAACGCAACAGGGUGCGGCGCGGGACAACUCUUGAUUGUCGAGUGCGGGUGCG